UAUGGUCAUAUCAUGUUGAAACAUUGGUUCCCAUAUUAUCACCAAAGUUAAGCAACAUUGACCCUCGUCAGUUCCUAGAUGAGUGACUUCUUGGGAAUACCAGGUGCUGUAAG